AACGAACGCUGGCGGCAGGCUUAACACAUGCAAGCCGAACGGAUGUAGCAAUCCCUCAGUGGCAGACGGGUGAGUAACACGUGGGAACCUUCCUAGGGGGACGGAACAACUCAGGGAAACUUGAGCUAAUACCGUAUACGUCCGUGAGGAGAAAGAUUUAUCGCCCUUAGACGGGCCCGCGUCGGAUUAGCUAGUUGGUGGGGUAACGGCCUACCAAGGCGACGAUCCGUAGCUGAUCUUAGAGGAUGAUCAGCCACACUGGGACUGAGACACGGCCCAGACUCCUACGGGAGGCAGCAGUGGGGAAUCUUGGACAAUGGGCGCAAGCCUGAUCCAGCCAUGCCGCGUGAGUGAAGAAGGUCUUCGGAUUGUAAAGCUCUUUUGCCAGGGACGAUAAUGACGGUACCUGGAGAAUAAGCCCCGGCAAACUUCGUGCCAGCCGCCGCUGUAA
rnacentral:rRNA from 1 species